GUGGGUAUAGCUCAGUGGUAGAGCGCAUGCAUGAGGUCCUGGGUUCAAUCCUAGUACCUCCA
rnacentral:tRNA from 1 species